rnacentral:rRNA from 1 species
GAUCAUGGCUCAGGAUGAACGCUAGCGGCAGGCUUAACACAUGCAAGUCGAGGGGCAGCGCGAGUAGCAAUACUUGGCGGCGACCGGCGCAAGGGUGCGUAACGCGUGAGCAACAUGCCCGUAUCAGGGGGAUAAUCCAGGGAAACUUGGUCUAAUACCCCAUAGUAAUUUUGUAAGGCAUCUUAUAAGAUUUAAAGCUUUGGUGGAUACGGAUUGGCUCGCGUGACAUUAGCUGGAUGGUAAGGUAACGGCUUACCAUGGCUAUGAUGUCUAGGGGUUCUGAGAGGAAGGUCCCCCACACUGGAACUGAGACACGGUCCAGACUCCUACGGGAGGCAGCAGUGAGGAAUAUUGGACAAUGGAUGGAAAUCUGAUCCAGCCAUGCCGCGUGAAGGAAGAAGGUCCUAUGGAUUGUAAACUUCUUUUGUAUGGGAGCAAUAAGGCCUACGAGUAGGUUGAUGAGAGUACCAUACGAAUAAGCACCGGCUAACUCCGUGCCAGCCGCCGC